GAGGGGUAGAAGGAGCUUGCUCCUUUGAGACCGGCGCACGGGUGCGUAACGCGUAUGCAAUCUACCUUUCACAGAGGGAUAGCCCAGAGAAAUUUGGAUUAAUACCUCAUAGUAUAGCAGUUUCGCAUGAAACCACUAUUAAAGUCACAACGGUGAAAGAUGAGCAUGCGUCCCAUUAGCUAGUUGGUAAGGUAACGGCUUACCAAGGCAACGAUGGGUAGGGGUCCUGAGAGGGAGAUCCCCCACACUGGUACUGAGACACGGACCAGACUCCUACGGGAGGCAGCAGUGAGGAAUAUUGGACAAUGGGCGCAAGCCUGAUCCAGCCAUGCCGCGUGCAGGAUGACGGUCCUAUGGAUUGUAAACUGCUUUUGUACAGGAAGAAACACCUCUACGUGUAGAGACUUGACGGUACUGUAAGAAUAAGGAUCGGCUAACUCCGUGCCAGCAGCCGCGGUAAUACGGAGGAUCCAAGCGUUAUCCGGAAUCAUUGGGUUUAAAGGGUCCGUAGGCGGUUUAGUAAGUCAGUGGUGAAAGCCCAUCGCUCAACGGUGGAACGGCCAUUGAUACUGCUAGACUUGAAUUAUUAGGAAGUAACUAGAAUAUGUAGUGUAGCGGUGAAAUGCUUAGAGAUUACAUGGAAUACCAAUUGCGAAGGCAGGUUACUACUAAUUGAUUGACGCUGAUGGACGAAUGCGUGGGUAGCGAACAGGAUUAGAUACCCUGGUAGUCCACGCCGUAAACGAUGGAUACUAGCUGUUGGGCGCAAGUUCAGUGGCUAAGCGAAAGUGAUAAGUAUCCCACCUGGGGAGUACGUUCGCAAGAAUGAAACUCAAAGGAAUUGACGGGGGCCCGCACAAGCGGUGGAGCAUGUGGUUUAAUUCGAUGA
rnacentral:rRNA from 1 species